AAGAGAGAGAAAGAAAACAAGAGAUAAUAGAGCAAUGGAAAAAUAGAGACACAACAUGAUAAAAAUAAUGUUUGAAUUUGCAAAGCAGGAGGAUUCUGGUGGCAUAGGACGGGUAAAUGAUGAGCAAUCCGUACAGGUUACGUUGGACUCACUCAGCCAAUACAACCCUGAAGCUCAUUGUUCUUGAAAGGUUCGAAACCCAUUAGAUUCCUCGUGUAUUUACUUCUCUGGGGCAUUGACAAAAGUUUGGUUACUACUGAGGUGACACUUUAACACUAUCCAGUGGCAGUAGGCCUAGUAGACUUGUAAACGUUGGCGAGGCGAGGCGCGGCAUGUUAAAUAAUAAUCCACCCUUUCUAAUCGUAGGUUGGAAGACUCGGUGGCCUUGUUACAGAAUCACUUUCGCUGAAACGGGAGAAGUUAUAGUUGGAUUAAGACAGCCAACUGCAACCGGCUUGGGGUGGAGUCAGUUCAGAGCAAAUUCAUCCAGAAACCUAUUAACUACAGCAACAGUUGAAGGCAAUCAACAUCUUCCUCAUCAUGGUGGUUUCUUUGGGAAAAUAUGUUGAGGAAGGCAAUGGGCUAAACCUGGGGGUGGGGGGGGUGCAUGCAAGGGUGCAUGCAAGGGUGCAUGCAAGGGUGCAUGAGGCUUUCAACCAGUCCUGUAAAAAUGUGCUGUGAAACUACAAAGUGGCUUCCUGUGCUGUUUUUUUUUAUAAAUAUAUAAAUUAAACAUGCUUUAUUCUCAAAACUACCUGUACAGACAAAGCCCAGAGCAGCUUUGCUUCUUCAUUUGCACUAUUUGUACCUUUUAAUCAACAUUUCCAAAUCAAACACCGCGCGGCUGGGUUAAACUGUGAUAUAAUAUCUUACAUACUCUACCUUUUCGAAAAGGGAAAAAAAAAAAAAAAAAACUCCCAAUAUAUACAACUUUUUAUACCAUCAA